rnacentral:lncRNA from 1 species
GGCGCGAUUUUUGUUUCCGAUUAAUCUGUCAAAUUUUAGCGGAUUCCAACACCGUCGCUAAAAAUGACGAAAUUGCCCACGGCGCGAUUUUUAUUUCCGAUCAAUCAAUCAAAUUUGGGCCCAUUCCGAGACCGUCGCGAAAAAUGACGAAAUUGCCCACGGCGCGAUUUUUGUUUCCGAUAAAUUUGUCAAAUUUUAG